rnacentral:rRNA from 1 species
UACGUAGGGUGCGAGCGUUGCCCGGAUUUAUUGGGCGUAAAGGGCGCGCAGGCGGCCACGCACGUCCGUUGUGAAAUCGCCCGGCUCAACUGGGCGGGGUCGGCGGAUACGGCGUGGCUGGAGCAAGCUAGGGGGUAGUGGAAUUCCCGGUGUAGUGGUGGAAUGCGUAGAUAUCGGGAGGAACACCAGUGGCGAAGGCGGCUACCUGGGGCUUGGCUGACGCUGAGGCGCGAAAGCGUGGGGAGCGAUCCGG